UUUUCAGGACGACCUGAAUAUUGAUGCUUUUAAUUAAUGGGGACGACCCCG
rnacentral:ncRNA from 1 species